GCCUAAUUGGCUCAGUCGGUGGAGCAUGCAACUCUUGAUCUUGAGGUUGUGGGUUCGAGCCCCAUGUUGGGUG
rnacentral:tRNA from 1 species